GUCGUGUACAGCUUCUUACCGUUAGACAAGACGGCAAUUGUAAGGAGCGUGCUAGACGACAUGUUCUCUCUAGAUGAAGGCAAGAAAGUUGCUACGACGUAUUGGGGUCGGUCGACUCGUACAUGUAUGAACGGAACGGUUACAACGACUCAAAAAGGCGUCGGGCAUGCAAGACGUGAGGGUGCUAACGAUAAUGCAUUAUCAGGGAGAACCUCGUGUACGAGUCCCAAACCUGUGGGAGUUCUAUCCAGCUUUGUGCUACAAUUUCCCGAACAUCAAGUGCUUUGUAAAUG